rnacentral:lncRNA from 1 species
CAACCAUGGGUUCUGCACAGAGUAUAAAGGGGUUGAUAACACUGGUGUAAGAUGUUCAUCAUCCUUUCUCUUUCUCUUUGUGAAAGCUUGUCCAAGAAGAACAGAGACUUGCUUCGUCUUGAGGCGCAAGAGAAGAGGAGACGGGAGGCUCUGGGGGAGAAAGACCAGUUCCCUGGGAAGACUCCCAUCUUUGCAAAACCCUACAAGACUGAUAACAAAGAUGCGCUGUCAAGGCGCAUUAGGAACAUCCUCGGCGAUUACAAUGAUUUCAAGGAGUACAUGAGGAAGAAUUUGCGGAAGGUCAUAUGGUCUCCAAAGAAAUUCAAAUCCAGGUCACAGACGAGGAGCAAGUGUCAUGAACCGAGCUGCAGUCAAAACAAGACAUUUCAGAGCUCAGUGACAGAACAACCACGUAAAAAUUCUAAGGCAUCAGAAUCAUCUGAGCUCGAACCUUCCUUGGAGAAAACCAACUCCACGGAUGUGCCAUCCAUUGAGGACAUUUUGAGGGAAAUGACCUACUCAUUUUCACGUCCCGUGUCACCUCUGCAGUCGCCUCCAAAAGCAGAGUCUGCCAAAUUGCCUUGCUCAACAAAGGUAAACCAGCCCCUUUUUGCCAGGACUCUUGGUAAAUUCCAAGAGAGCUUUCUGCCCCUUGCAUGUGCUUUCCACCUCCUUUUGAGCCCAGUGGAUCUCAAGCUGUGAAGCAGCUGCUUCCAGUGCACUCUUUUGCUGAGAAUUAGAAGUGAUUGUGCUGCUGAGUGUUUUGGAG